AGAGGAUUGUAAGGAGAAGGAGCAUCAGAGCCGUAUACGUCCCAUUGACCUGUUGUGUUACCCAAAUCUUCUAAGUCAAAGUAGACACUUUUGUCUCCAUACUUAGCCACCACACCAUUA
rnacentral:sRNA from 1 species